GCGUGGUGGCAUAGUGGUUUGAGCAUUGGAUUACAACUCUGGAGACCAGGGUUCGAAUCCAUGGAAACUCA